rnacentral:rRNA from 1 species
UACGUAGGGCGCGAGCGUUGUCCGGAAUUAUUGGGCGUAAAGAGCUCGUAGGCGGCCUGUCGCGUCAAUUGUGAAAGCCCGGGGCUUAACCCCCGGGUCUGCAGUCGAUACGGGCAGGCUAGAGUGUGGUAGGGGAGAUCGGAAUUCCUGGUGUAGCGGUGAAAUGCGCAGAUAUCAGGAGGAACACCGGUGGCGAAGGCGGAUCUCUGGGCCAUUACUGACGCUGAGGAGCGAAAGCGUGGGGAGCGAACAGG